AACUAUUAUAUAUAAUGAAUUUUUAUUUUUUUUUUUUUUUGAGGGAAAACACGCCCUUAGGCGAAUUUAUUUAUCAAUCGGGAGGUACAACUUGGUAGAAUUCAUCUACAGAGGACCAAAAAGAGAGUUUUUUGCUAGUAAGCCCCCAGUUGGCCAAUCGAUCUGCAACUACAGCAUUUUUAGAAUAUCUAGACGACCAUCCAUAACUAAAUAGCUUAGAACUUUCAAGAAAAGUUCGGAGAUCCGAGAUUCUUGUUCGAGCUUCAUCUGUUAACGAAACUGAAUGAUAGCUCCUAAGGUGCAAGGCUUUGAUGAUGGGUGCUGAAUCUGAGUAGAUAUGAAAAGUUUCUCCCGGAUACCUUUGCAANUGUUGGCCAGCUCGUGAGCCGGUUUGUGUUCGGCUCGUUUAUUAAUGAGUCGAACACGAGCUGAAUUUUUCGGCUCGAUAUUUUAACGAGCCAGAUUGUAUUCAGCCAAACACCAGCCGGCCCCGGCUCGCUCGUGUUCGACUCGUUUACACCCCCUACUAGGGGGGACCGCAAUCAUCCCAAUGUAGGGUUGCAAAUGGAUCCGGGUUAGUGAAAUUUUCACGAUGAUCUGUCUCGAAUGGGACAGUAAGUGAGAGCAAAAUAUAUAGAAAAAUAUAACCCGCCACGAAUCCGCCCUGAUUCGUCGAGUUAAUGGAGUGGGAGGUAGGGGAUCCUUUUCGUCUUCGAUCUGUCCCUAUUCAUAAAAAAAUUUAUCAAAAAUU
rnacentral:lncRNA from 1 species